rnacentral:rRNA from 1 species
UAGAACGCUGGCGGCGUGCUUAACACAUGCAAGUCUUUUUGCGAAAGGGACUUCGGUCCCGAGUAAAGUGGCGCACGGGUGAGUAACACGUGGAUAAUCUGCCUCUAUGAUGGGGAUAACAGUUGGAAACGACUGCUAAUACCGAAUACGCUCAUGAUGAAUUUUGUGAGGAAAGGUGGCCUCUGCUUGCAAGCUAUCGCAUAGAGAUGAGUCCGCGUCCCAUUAGCUAGUUGGUGGGGUAACGGCCUACCAAGGCAACGAUGGGUAGCCGAUCUGAGAGGAUGAUCGGCCACACUGGAACUGAAACACGGUCCAGACUCCUACGGGAGGCAGCAGUGGGGAAUAUUGCGCAUUGGGCGAAAGCCUGACGCAGCGACGCCGCGUGAGGGAUGAAGGUCUUCGGAUCGUAAACCUCUGUCAGAAGGGAAGAAACUAGGGUGCUCUAAUCAUCAUCCUACUGACGGUACCUUCAAAGGAAGCACCGGCUAACUCC